rnacentral:rRNA from 1 species
CCUACGGGAGGCAGCAGUGAGGAAUAUUGGUCAAUGGGCGCGAGCCUGAACCAGCCAAGUAGCGUGAAGGAUGACUGCCCUACGGGUUGUAAACUUCUUUUAUAACGGAAUAAAGUGAGACACGUGUGCCUUUUUGUAUGUACUUUAUGAAUAAGGAUCGGCUAACUCCGUGCCAGCAGCCGCGGUAAUACGGAGGAUCCGAGCGUUAUCCGGAUUUAUUGGGUUUAAAGGGAGCGUAGAUGGGUUGUUAAGUUAGUUGUGAAAGUUUGCGGCUCAACCGUAAAAUUGCAAGUGAUACUGGCCGUCUUGAGUACAGUUGAGGUAGGCGGAAUGCGUGGUGUAGCGGUGAAAUGCUUAGAUAUCACGAAGAACUCCGAUUGCGAAGGCAGCUUACUAAGCUGCCACUGACAUUGAUGCGCGAAAGUGUGGGUAUCAAACAGGAUUAGAUACCCGAGUAGUC